rnacentral:rRNA from 1 species
UACGAAGGGGGCUAGCGUUGCUCGGAAUCACUGGGCGUAAAGGGUGCGUAGGCGGGUCUUUAAGUCAGGGGUGAAAUCCUGGAGCUCAACUCCAGAACUGCCUUUGAUACUGAGGAUCUUGAGUCCGGGAGAGGUGAGUGGAACUGCGAGUGUAGAGGUGAAAUUCGUAGAUAUUCGCAAGAACACCAGUGGCGAAGGCGGCUCACUGGCCCGGUACUGAC